UCAAGUAAUUAAGUGCAUGUGGUGGAUGCCUUGGACAGUACAGAGGCGUAUGAAAGAACGUGAUAGCCUGCGAAAAGCUCCGGGGAGGCGGCAAAUAUCCUUUGAUCCGGAGAUGUCUGAAUGGGGGAACCCACCUACUUUAAGGUAGGUAUUGCAACAUGAAUACAUAGUGUUGCAAGGCGAACGAGGGGAAGUGAAACAUCUCAGUACCCUUAGGAAAAGAAAUCAAUUGAGAUUCCCUCAGUAGCGGCGAGCGAACGGGGAUCAGCCCAUUAAGUUAUGUGUGUUUUAGUGGAACGCUCUGGGAAGUGCGAACGUAGAGGGUGAUAUUCCCGUACACGAAAGGGCACACAUAAUGAUGACGAGUAGGGCGAGGCACGUGAAACCUUGUCUGAAUAUGGGGGGACCAUCCUCCAAGGCUAAAUACUCCUGACUGACCGAUAGUGAACCAGUACCGUGAGGGAAAGGCGAAAAGAACCCCUGUGAGGGGAGUGAAAUAGAUCCUGAAACCGCAUGCAUACAAGCAGUGGGAGCACCUUCGUGGUGUGACUGCGUACCUUUUGUAUAAUGGGUCAGCGACUUAUAUUCAGUAGCGAGGUUAACCGUAUAGGGGAGCCGUAGAGAAAUCGAGUCUUAAUAGGGCGUUUAGUUGCUGGGUAUAGACCCGAAACCAGGCGAUCUAUCCAUGAGCAGGUUGAAGGUUGGGUAACACUAACUGGAGGACCGAACCCACUGUCGUUGAAAAGCCAGGGGAUGACUUGUGGAUAGGGGUGAAAGGCUAAUCAAGCCUGGUGAUAGCUGGUUCUCCCCGAAAGCUAUUUAGGUAGCGCCUCGGACGAAUACCAUAGGGGGUAGAGCACUGUUUCGGCUAGGGGGUCAUCCCGACUUACCAAACCGAUGCAAACUCCGAAUACCUAUGAGUACUAUCCGGGAGACAGACUGCGGGUGCUAACGUCCGUAGUCAAGAGGAAAACAAUCCAGACCGCCAGCUAAGGCCCCAAAAUCAUAGUUAAGUGGGAAACGAUGUGGGAAGGCAUAGACAGCUAGGAGGUUGGCUUAGAAGCAGCCACCCUUUAAAGAAAGCGUAAUAGCUCACUAGUCGAGUCGGCCUGCGCGGAAGAUGUAACGGGGCUAAAACUAUGUGCCGAAGCUGCGGAUGUAUACUUUGUAUACGUGGUAGGGGAGCGUUCUGUAAGCCGAUGAAGGUGUGUUGAGAAGCAUGCUGGAGGUAUCAGAAGUGCGAAUGCUGACGUGAGUAACGACAAAACGGGUGAAAAACCCGUUCGCCGAAAGACCAAGGGUUCCAGUCCAACGUUAAUCGGGGCUGGGUGAGUCGACCCCUAAGGCGAGGCCGAAAGGCGUAGUCGAUGGGAAAAUGGUUAAUAUUCCAUUACUUCUGUGUAAUGCGAUGAGAGGACGGAGAAGGCUAAAUCAGCCUGGCGUUGGUUGUCCAGGUGAAAGGAUGUAGGCAUGUAUCUUAGGCAAAUCCGGGGUACUCUAUGCUGAGAUCUGAUAGCAAGCUGUACUUGUACAGCGAAGUGGUUGAUGCCAUGCUUCCAGGAAAAGUCUCUAAGCUUCAGUUACACAGGAAUCGUACCCGAAACCGACACAGGUGGUCAGGUCGAGUAGACCAAGGCGCUUGAGAGAACUCUGCUGAAGGAACUAGGCAAAAUGGUACCGUAACUUCGGGAGAAGGUACGCUGUUGUUGGUGAUGGAACUCGCUUCCUGAGCUGACGACAGCCGCAGAAACCAGGCCGCUGCAACUGUUUAUUAAAAACAUAGCACUCUGCAAACACGAAAGUGGACGUAUAGGGUGUGAUGCCUGCCCGGUGCUGGAAGGUUAAUUGAUGGGGUUAGCGUAAGCGAAGCUCUUGAUCGAAGCCCCAGUAAACGGCGGCCGUAACUAUAACGGUCCUAAGGUAGCGAAAUUCCUUGUCGGGUAAGUUCCGACCUGCACGAAUGGCAUAAUGAUGGCGGCGCUGUCUCCAGCAGAGGCUCAGUGAAAUCGAAAUCGCUGUGAAGAUGCAGUGUACCCGCGGCUAGACGGAAAGACCCCGUGAACCUUUACUGCAGCUUGACACUGAACUUUGACCUUACUUGUGUAGGAUAGGUGGGAGGCUUUGAAGCUGGAACGCUAGUUCCAGUGGAGCCGUCCUUGAAAUACCACCCUGGUAAUGUUGAGGUUCUAACUCUGUCCCGUGAUCCGGGACGAGGACCGUGUCUGGUGGGUAGUUUGACUGGGGCGGUCUCCUCCUAAAGAGUAACGGAGGAGUACGAAGGUGCGCUCAGCGUGGUCGGAAAUCACGCGUAGAGUAUAAAGGCAAAAGCGCGCUUAACUGCGAGACCCACAAGUCGAGCAGGUACGAAAGUAGGUCUUAGUGAUCCGGUGGUUCUGUAUGGAAGGGCCAUCGCUCAACGGAUAAAAGGUACUCUGGGGAUAACAGGCUGAUACCGCCCAAGAGUUCAUAUCGACGGCGGUGUUUGGCACCUCGAUGUCGGCUCAUCUCAUCCUGGGGCUGAAGCAGGUCCCAAGGGUAUGGCUGUUCGCCAUUUAAAGAGGUACGCGAGCUGGGUUUAGAACGUCGUGAGACAGUUCGGUCCCUAUCUACCGUGGGCGCUGGAAAUUUGAGAGGAUCUGCUCCUAGUACGAGAGGACCAGAGUGGACGAACCUCUGGUGUACCGGUUGUGACGCCAGUCGCAUCGCCGGGUAGCUAUGUUCGGAAGGGAUAACCGCUGAAAGCAUCUAAGCGGGAAGCCUACCUCAAGAUAAGAUUUCCCUAGGACUUUAUGUCCUCUAAAGAGCCGUUCGAGACUAGGACGUUGAUAGGUUGGAUGUGGAAGCAUAGUGAUAUGUGAAGCUGACCAAUACUAAUUGCUCGUGAGGCUUGACUAU
rnacentral:rRNA from 1 species